UACGGAGGGUGCAAGCGUUGUUCGGAAUUAUUGGGCGUAAAGGGUGCGUAGGCGGCCUGACAAGUCAGAGGUGAAAGGCUACGGCUUAACCGUAGUAAGCCUUUGAAACUGAUGGGCUGGAGUUCUGGAGAGGGUGGCGGAAUUCCCGGUGUAGGAGUGAAAUCCGUAGAUAUUGGGAGGAACACCGGUGGCGAAGGCGGCUACCUGGACCGAUACUGACGCUGAGACGCGAAAGCGUGGGGAGCAAACAGG
rnacentral:rRNA from 1 species